GCACAAGCAGUGGAGUAUGUGGUUUAAUUCGAAGCAACGCGAAGAACCUUACCAGGUCUUGACAUCCUGCUAACGAGGUAGAGAUACGUUAGGUGCCCUUCGGGGAAAGCAGAGACAGGUGGUGCAUGGUUGUCGUCAGCUCGUGUCGUGAGAUGUUGGGUUAAGUCCCGCAACGAGCGCAACCCCUGCUAUUAGUUGCUACGCAAGAGCACUCUAAUAGGACUGCCGUUGACAAAA
rnacentral:rRNA from 1 species